rnacentral:ncRNA from 2 species
CUCUUAUCCCGAGCCGGUGGAGGGACAGGCCCGAUGAAACCCAGCAACCGUCACAAUUUUACAAUAUGUGAAAAGGUGCUAACCUGUGGCAAGGCGUGGUCCUUGAACGAUAAGAG